AGACGAAGGUGGCAAGCGUUAUUCGGAUUUACUGGGCAUAAAGCGCGCGUAGGCGGCUCGGUCAGUCGGAGGUGAAAGCCCACAGCUCAACUGUGGAACUGCCCUCGAUACUGCCGAGCUUGAGUGCAGGAGAGGUGACUGGAACUCCAGGUGUAGCGGUGAAAUGCGUAGAUAUCUGGAGGAACACCAGAGGCGAAGGCGGCUUCCUGGACCAACACUGACACUGAGGCGCGAAAGCGUGGGGAGCAAACAGGAUUAGAAACCCUGGUAGUCC
rnacentral:rRNA from 1 species